rnacentral:rRNA from 1 species
UACGAAGGGGGCGAGCGUUGUUCGGAUUUACUGGGCGUAAAGGGCGCGCAGGCGGCUAUUUUUGUCAGGCGUGAAAGCCCCGGGCUUAACCUGGGAACCGCGCUUGAGACGGGAUGGCUAGAGAUCGGGAGAGGAGAGUGGAAUUCCCAGUGUAGAGGUGAAAUUCGUAGAUAUUGGGAAGAACACCAGUGGCGAAGGCGGCUAUCUGGACGGUUUCUGACGCUAAGACGCGAAAGCGUGGGGAGCAAACAGG